rnacentral:rRNA from 1 species
UACGUAGGUCCCGAGCGUUGUCCGGAUUUAUUGGGCGUAAAGCGAGCGCAGGUGGUUUAUUAAGUCUGGUGUAAGAGGCAGUGGCUCAACCACUGUAUGCAUUGGAAACUGGUAGACUUGAGUGCAGGAGAGGAGAGUGGAAUUCCAUGUGUAGCGGUGAAAUGCGUAGAUAUAUGGAGGAACACCGGUGGCGAAAGCGGCUCUCUGGCCUGUAACUGACACUGAGGCUCGAAAGCGUGGGGAGCAAACAGG